GGGGUUGUGGCUCAGUGUUAGAGUGCUCGCCAGCACAUGUGAGGGCCUGAGUUCAAUCCUCAGCACUACA
rnacentral:tRNA from 1 species